rnacentral:rRNA from 1 species
CUCAAAUUUGAAAUCUGGCCUUCGGGUCCGAGUUGUAAUUUGUAGAGGAUGCUUAGGGUGUGGCUCCGGUCUAAGUUCCUUGGAACAGGACGUCAUAGAGGGUGAGAAUCCCGUAUGUGACUGGCAGCCUUCGCCCGUGUUAAGCUCCUUCGACGAGUCGAGUUGUUUGGGAAUGCAGCUCUAAAUGGGUGGUAAAUUUCAUCUAAAGCUAAAUAUUGGCCAGAGACCGAUAGCGCACAAGUAGAGUGAUCGAAAGAUGAAAAGCACUUUGGAAAGAGAGUUAAACAGUACGUGAAAUUGUUGAAAGGGAA